GCAGCUGCAAAGGCGGCAGCGGCAGCAGUAGCAAAAGCCAAAUGGCUUGAGGCCGAGGCUGCUGCUGCUGCUGAAGCUGCAGCUGCUGAGGCUGCUGCUGGCACAAAGGAUGGCCAGGAAGAUGAUGCUACAGAAACAAAUAACGAGUAAGUAUUCAACGACCCAUAUCAAUGUCUAUGUAUUGUAUAAAAUUCGUUAUUACAUUGUUUUGUUUUAUAUUUUUAUUUCAGCCAAUUAAGUUUUUAACUUAACAGACAA